CUGAACGAGCUGAGGUGUGGCAACAUUUGACUGCCUACAUCCUAUAAUAUUUUCUGCUAUUAGGGAUUGCUUUGGAAGGAUUUGGACUCAUUUAUGCUACGAAUAUUACUGAGCACCUACCAUAUGACCAGGAGAUCUUUAGAAUCCAGUGGCUGUAUGUGUUGAAGAGAGGAAACUCGCUUCUGCAGGGAGAACAAACUACAGAAACAACUGAAAUGAAAUGUCACAAAAGGUCCAUAAAAUGUCUGCACCUAUGGCUGCUCUACGACUGGCCACCACAACCUGUCUUGUGAUGUUUGUAUGACUGAGCCAACACAGACCAAAAAUAACCACUGUGCAUCAAUGCUUCAAAUAAUUUUUUUCUAAGAGUAGGAAAAUUUUAGUGAGGGAAAGAAAGCUUCUGUCUAAGAGAGACAGGAGAG
rnacentral:lncRNA from 1 species